CGCGACGCCGCACGCUGAUUGGCUAAAACGCCUCUGCCCGCGAAGAUGGGGCACAAAAGUCCGCCAGAAAAGACUCGGAGGCGGCCAGCCUGCAAAGACUGGUGUGGUGCAAGCGGAGAGAGGCUACAACAAGCUGCCCGGUGCAGAAAACGCAUGCUGCUGCGAUUCAUCAUCUGCAGGAUCUGGAGCCUGAUGUAAUGCUGAUUGUAUUUCCCACUUCUAAUGUGCCCUUUCUGAUGCUCCAACAUAGGCUUUGUUUUUCCAACAGCCUCCUGUUGUCAGAGAGAAAGAGAGAGCCAGGUCUUCAUGUUCGGUUAGUUUUUUUUUCUAAUCUUUGUAGAUAGUCAGAAUAAAUGACAUAAAUAAUUUCCCAUUUGCCUGUCAUCUGGAUCCUCCUCCUCAUCUCCUGGGUCUUCAGAUCCCCGUCUUCAUCCCUGCAUCACCUGGUUCUCGUGCUGCUGUUUCAGCACUGUCUCUGCUGCUCUCGCCUGUUUUGUGCUCCCCGUGGCUGCUGCCGGGCUGGUUUCACCGGACUGCGGCACCGUCUCCCACGCAGACACGCGCGUGCCGACAUCCUCCCAGCGAGCCCUGCUCUCUCCUCUCCCACUCCAGUUUCAUUUACCUGUAAAUAUCUCUUUGACCUAACUUGGUUGCUUAAACUUCUUCAUGCAUUCCUUUUACCUCGUGAGACCCUGCCACAACAUGUUUGCCUUUUAAGAAAAAACACACACACAAACCCCCAAACCUCCCAUCACCCGGAUCCGAUUUCCCCAAAGCUGCUGGCUGACCCUCCAUCUCCUCCCAGCUCUCCUAGAGAGCCUUUGUUCCUCUCCUGUGAGUUCCUCUUUGUUUCGGGGCUCGCUGCGGCUAUUUGAGCUUUUCCUUAGUGACAUUGUCUAAUUCUGAGAAGACGCAGAUUAAAACACGCCGGAGAACAAUGCUCGAAUGCUGUAAACUCCUUUGAGUUGUGUGAGCGGGCCGUGCCCGACGAGCCCCGUUGACCUCACCGGGCUACAUCUGUGCAUGACAAGUGGUCAGUGACCUGAGGAGCAGAGCAUGCUGCGGGUGGCUUCGAGAGCUAGUUCCACCGACCCGGAUCAGAAGGUGCCGGCGCAGCGGGGGCACUUUCUCCUCCCGCGCUGCGUUGAGUCGGGACUUCUUGCACCAGCUUGGGCUCUGCAGAAACUGUAAUAACGGGCAAACCGUUGUGCUUAGUGCUGACCUGCGCUGCAGCUCGUCUUGUGACUCGAGCAUGUUGGAUGAACAUAAAUCUUACUCCGCUGUACUUAACCUUCUGUCCUUAAUGACUCAAAAGGAGAAAGCGGUGGAUGCCAUAAGCCAACUCCAGACCUAGGAGUCUGAAGGCUGAUGAAGUACAGUGGCUUCUUAUUUUCUGGUAGUCCUCCAAAGAAUUACGCCUUUUAAAGGUUAUAAAAGCUCCAGUGCAGAAUAUGAAGCCACUCUUUAAAAUUAGUUUAUAAAUAACAGUGCUGGAGUACUGUCUGUAUUUGUGGCAUUCAAAAAAUAUAUCCAACCCCAACUGUGGAGUGAGGUCUGCUAAUAUGAAUUCUUGUACCUGGGAAUUCCCAAAUCCCGCCAAUUCCCUGUUAACUUGCAGUUGAAGACUAGACUGCUAAUUAGCACAAGACCCUUGAUUCCUUCCCAAAAUGUGGUCUGGUGACUGGAACUGGAAGCCAAAGCUUCAAGGUUUCCUUUACUGUACAGGGCAAAAAUAAAGUGGGAAGAAAUUAAAACUGUUCCUCUAAAGCAACUCUCUGGCAUCAGUGCUUGAUCCUUCUGUUAUGUGUGAUAUCAUUAAACAGUCUUCUGUAAUAUUUACCACUCUUGUGGGACAAAUUCAGAUAUAAUAUAAAGAGGUAAUAAUACUGUCUUCCCAGGAGUUGCAGCUAAUUAUAACAUACUUGAAUUUGGAUCUUUCAUCUGAAGGACCUCUACCAAAUGAGCAACCUUUCACGCCAGUGAAAUGAGACAGCCCGAGUAAAACUGGCAAGCAAACGCGGGGAGAAGAAAGAAACGUCAUCCAAGGACAACAGGCCUCCCAGCUCUGUGAUGAGCCCAUAUCUGUGCAAAAUAUGCUCAGUCGUUCUUUUCUUUAAGCUUUGUACGAUCUCUCUACAACAGACUGCGUAAUACUCAUUAAGUAAAAAUCAUUUCUUUGGCCUUUACGUGAACAGCUGAUCCCACUGUUUUCAGAGGCUAAAUGACAUUUCCAUCACCUGAGGCGGACUGGGAGGAGAAGGGUCACAAGAAACCUUCAUCCCAUUGGAGGAAGGUGUGAUGAUCCAAAAGGCUGCACUUGCAAUACAUCUGUUCCAAAACUGCAAGAAGAACCUCAGACUUCCACGAUCAGAUUUUGCUGCCAAGUGCAGAAGUCCAGUUCCAAAGUUUUUGCAUUGCUUUAUGCCUCCUGAACAGCCUCGUUAACAGCCGGAAGCCUUGUCCUAAGCACAAUAUGGCUCUUGAUGAGUUGUGGCAACUAACAGUAUUUCAUUCUGGCAGGUAGUAAACUGACAGCACUAAUGGUCUUGGUUUUGAACUAGAAUAUGCUGUGUUCUAGUCCCACGCCAGGACUUGAGCUCUUAGCCCUCGCUGCUCCUGCAGCGUAGCACUAGGAGAAGGCUAUGCUACUGGAGGUGAGAACUGAAGCCAAGGUCAUGCCUUGUGCUUAUCUGUGAGACUUCCAUAAACUUCACCAAACUGAAACUGCUUUUCAGAAAAAAAUGAGGAUAACCGUGCUGCUCUAAUCAAGCCCAUCUCAGUAAAAAUAUUCCAAAGCGGAUCAAGGAUCUGUUUGGUAUGUCUGUCUGCGUGCGUGCUGCUCUCUGUGUUAACAGCCACUCCUAGCAUAAAGUAUUAUAGGUGAUCUAAUAUACCGGGCAUGGGGCAGAGGACUGGGUGUAUCCUAGUUUUACGCAGCUCUGACCUCUGGCAGUAGUGCCACGUGUGGCCAUGGCAGCUCAGCCUCUCAUGAAGGCCCUCAUAUUUCAUGUGCUUCUGUACUUGAGAUGUUUGUGACUUGAUUUCAAGAGGUAUGUGGUAACUUGCAGCUAAUUACUUCAGUUUCUGCUGUGCCUCAAACUCAGGUCUUUGCAUACCCAGAAUUUUAACAAGCCCUUAAAAACUGACGCUGUUCUCUUUUUUUUUAAUUUUUUUUCCCUAUAGCCUUUUUGCAAUGUGCAAAAUGCAUUGCCUCCCGGAGGAGCUGUGAACGUUAAUUGAUACUCACAAAGCACUAUGUAAAUAUUAAGUAUUAAAAGUGUAUUAACUUAUAUAGUACUUUAAAAUACCUUCAAAUGAAAAGCUCUGUCCAAGGAUUUAUAAACAGCUUGUACUUUUUGGCCUGAAGAGAGAGAAAUCUUUUUUUUUUAAAGGCAGAAGCUUAACUCAGAAUAUGCUCGGCUGUUUACUUGUAUAUUCAUAUUGCUCAAUAAAAUAUUUACAUUAAAAUGUA